UUGCGAGUUAUGUAAAACUUGCUCCAUUAAAAUUGAGUUGGAUUAGAUACUCAAUGAGGCUGAAUAUAUUACCAUCUCUGUAUUUUAAAGAUAUCCUUGUGUAUGUUAAUUAUUGAUUUGUUUUGCCUCCCUAGUUUUUCAAACUUCAAAGAGACACUUGGCUCCAGGGAUGCCAACCAAAGGGUAGUUUUUACCGAUGGU
rnacentral:lncRNA from 1 species